ACCAGGCGACACAGUGAAAAGCUUACCUCCCGUACCCCAAAAUUAGACCCAAAAGACUGUAAUUUGAAUGUACUUUCUGAUUCACGGACGAUUAAAGUGUUAUUUUUAGGGGGGGUAGGUUCUCAUUUGGCAUUAGAAAGUCCAAGGAAGAACCCAAUUUUAAGGCGUACCCACUAGAAUACGCACAUUGCACUUUUCCUUUGAUUGGUCGGAUGCUAUGGCCAUGGCCAGUAUUCUGGAUUCACGGUUCGGACAGCGGGAACAAGGCGUGCUCUUCGCUACAGUGCUUGGCAUGUGACUGUUGGCCCCGGGGCAAUAUACGGCACCGCUGAUAAAAGACUGGGAGAAGGCUGUGCUCCAUUGCCGACUUCUGUUCAUGCUGACGCUGAUGAAACGCUUCCUCUCGUUUCAUUUUUCAUCGGUUGUCUCAGGCAGCGCGGGGGGGGGGACCAGCCAAAAGGAGCUCGUCUUCCACGGGAUCCAACGAAAAUAUAUAAAUUGAAAGCAAUGUUUUUGAA
rnacentral:lncRNA from 1 species